GACAGAGGGGGCAAGCGUUGCUCGGAAUUACUGGGCGUAAAGGGCGCGUAGGCGGGAUGGCAAGUCGGUCGUGAAAUCCCUCGGCUCAACCGAGGAACGUCGAUCGAUACUGCUGUUCUUGAGGAUUGCAGAGGAGACUGGAAUUCCCGGUGUAGCGGUGAAAUGCGUAGAUAUCAGGAGGAACACCGGUGGUGUAGACGGCUUUCUGGACCGUAACUGACGCUGAGACACGAAAGCGUGGGUAGCAAACAGG
rnacentral:rRNA from 1 species